UCCGAGCGGAAGCGGUAAUAUCACCGCUAGCUCCUUGUUCUUUUCUUGCUUCUUUCGUCUGCGUCUUUGAAGCUUCGCGAGAGAGAGGAAGAGAGAAGAGGGGGAAUUAGAAUUACUCGAUCGGAGAAGAAUGGGGCUGCAGUGGAUGAUCCUGUCGUGGGUGGUGGCGGCAGAGGCGGCGGCGGCGGUUCUGGUGACCCUCCCGGCCCCGAGGCUCAUCAAGUCUCGGAUCGUCGCCCUCGCCUCCCUCGCCCUCCAGCCCCUUGGCGGCGUCAUCCCCUUCGCCGCCUUCCAGCUCUUGGAUCUUCACUGGAAAAGCGAGCACCGACUGAUCUGCGCCGGCGACGUCUGCACCACGGACGAGAGGAUCCGAUACGAGAAGUCUAUUUUCAAAGCUCAAAGGAAUGUUAUUCUGUGUGUUUCGGCAUGUCUCCUUUAUUGGUGUAUCUACCGUGUUUGCAAAUACCAUAAGGAGAUAAAGGAACUGGAAGAAGUUGAGAAGCGUCUCAAAGAGCAGUAGCUUUUAUAAUCAGAUCAAUAACUGUUAAUCUAUCUAGAGGGGUUACUUUUGGAGGUGGAAUUUGGGUAUGUUUUGAUAAAGAUUCAAGACUCUUGAGAUGUUAGGUAGAGGGUUGGAACCGGGCACACUAUGUUCGGGUUUGUGUUCAGUAAGUUCUGUGCGGGUGAAGAGACAGGAGGCUGGAGCUGAGGUGUGUAGAGGGGCAAAGCUGGUGGAAUUCUCGGGGUGGAUUAAUAAGCAGAUGGUAGAUUACGGAGAGAGGUGAAGAGAGGCUGUUUGUUGAUACAUGUGAAACUGGCAGGGCUCUCAUUGAGAUUCUGUUAACAAUCAUCCAUAUGGUAGAUGUUAACAAUCAGUUAGAAGAUUUGAGCAUCACGAUUAAAUGAAUUUUCCAGAUAGUAAGAGCUAAUGAAGAUGUGUUCACUUGCUAUUUUCUGAAGUCGAAGUAGUUAGUCUUUCUUAGAAUAUAGACCCUAUCCCUGAUUGUGUAGUGCUUCCUUAGCAUAUUAUACAAAAUUGGUCAAUAUUCAACAGCAUGGUUUGAACUUUGAAGAGUGGAUCUUGCUUCGUCAUGCCCUGGACUGGGUUAACAUAGAUGAGAUCAAUUCUACGCUUGGAGUCUUCUAAACUUAUUUUGUGAGAAUGGAUAGCUGCGGUAUAUGUUUGAUUUUA